rnacentral:rRNA from 1 species
UACAGAGGGUGCAAGCGUUAAUCGGAAUUACUGGGCGUAAAGCGUGCGUAGACGGUUACUUAAGUCGGGUGUGAAAGCCCCGGGCUCAACCUGGGAAUUGCAUUCGAGACUGCGUAGCUAGGGUGCGGAAGAGGGAAGCGGAAUUUCCGGUGUAGCGGUGAAAUGCGUAGAUAUCGGAAGGAACACCAGUGGCGAAAGCGGCUUCCUGGUCCAGCACCGACGUUCAGGCACGAAAGCGUGGGGAGCAAACAGG